AGGCCAGACUCCUACGGGAGGCAGCAGUGGGGAAUAUUGCGCAAUGGGCGAAACCCUGAUGCAGCAACGCCGCGUGAGUGAAGAAGUCAUUCGUGAUGUAAAGCUCUAUCAGCAGGGAAGAAAAUGACGGUACCUGAGUAAGAAGCCCCGGCUAACUACGUGCCAGCAGCCGCGGUAAUACGUAGGGGGCAAGCGUUAUCCGGAUUUACUGGGUGUAAAGGGGGCGCAGACGGCCAUGGCAAGCCCGGUGUGAAAGGCAGGGGCAUAACCCCUGGACUGCACUGGGAACUGUCAGGCUGGAGUGCCGGAGGGGUAAGCGGAAUUCCCAGUGUAGCGGUGAAAUGCGUAGAUAUUAGGAGGAACACCAGUGGCGAAGGCGGCUUACUGGACUGUAACUGACGUUGAGGCUCGAAAGCGUGGGGAGCAAACAGGAUUAGAUACCCGUGUA
rnacentral:rRNA from 1 species